UAUUUUUAGAGCCCGGCCCUUCCCCAGACGCCAGGAUCCCAGCUGAGAUUUCCAGCGGCUCCAACGAGCCCAUUCCUGGGCUGAGUCCUCGCUUACUGGGAAUGUUCUGGAAGAGAGACGGAGCCCCUUAAAGGAUAUGAUUCUCAGUGUUCUCAUCUGAGACACGUGGGGCUGGACUGGGUGGAGGGUCUCCCAGACCCUCCGGCGAGGACGGCCCCGACUCAGGAGACAGAUGGGAUCCGGCUUGGACAAGCUCGACGGAGGUCCCUGUCCGCUGAGGUCACGCUCAGAACCUCCAGGGUGUCCACUCCGUGGUGGAUGUACACAGUAGGUGUUCAACCAGUUGGCUGCUGACGGGCUCCUGGGACACUCUGCCUCCCACAACUGCCCGCUGUCCCGAGGGGGGCACGCCUCCCGACCCACCGGGACUUGCUGUUCCUCUGCCAGGCGUGGGCUCUGCCGCAGCCAGGAAGGGGAAGGCGCCGGGCCCACUGCUGACCAUCAGGGUUUGCUCCUGCGCUUCGACUCAGCUCCUCGGCGGGGAGGUUGGCUCAUCUGUGCGAGUGUUUGCUGAGUGUGCUGGAGCCAACAGCCACUUGACCUUGGCAGGGUCUGGCCUCCACACAGAGCGGGGGCCAGGCUGCCCCUCAUGGAGCAGACAGAGCCCUUUACUGACUUGCAGACCCAGACGGCUUGCCCGCCUCCCCUUUCGAGGAGCCACUCUUCCUUCCGCAGCCUGCCAGGCCAGUGCCCCCUCCUCCGUAGGCUGGGGAUGGGCUGCCCAGCCUUCCCAGAGGGCUGGGGACUGGGAAUUCCUGCCUCACCUCCCCCAUCCCCCAGGGACAGGGGUCAGCGGGCAGUGCAACCGUAGCUGUGGCGGUUUCUCCUUUCCCUCCGCUCGGGACACUGAUGGCAGCCUGUCCCAAAUCCUCCUCCAGCCCCCACGGAUUGCUGAGGGGAUCUGGGCUCCCACUCCUUAGCCAGGACCAUCCACCCCCCGGGCAGCUGACUUGGGUGCAGCCAGUGGUCCCUUCUAGGAGCCACGCCACCAGGGGAAGCAGGGGAGCUCCUGCCCACCCGCACUGCCCUGUGGAACAGCCAGCAGCCCUGCCCCAGCCCUUAUAAGCGGGUCUCCCCUGGUCCUCUCCAGGCCCAGAUUGUUCGGGGCACAUGUCCUGGGGAGUCUGUGCUCCGUGUCCUGGGUUUGGCUCACGACGGUCUCGGCUAUCAGGGUGGAAACUCCCCCAGAGCAGGAACAUUGCCUGGGCUGGGCUCCAGGCAAGUCGGUUCCUCUUUGUUGGCCAAAUGAACACAUCCCCCGAAGGAAGGGUUCAGGGAACAGUGGCCGUCCGUGCGACGUCGCACCUUGCAGCCAUCCCGGCUGUUGUUGGCAUGUUGUUCAGGGUCCAGACAAGGCUCCGCCGUCCGAGCUGAGUGAACACAUUACAACCUGUGACUAUGGAAAGACUUCAGUUUUGCCGAAGAGACAUGUUGAUAGUUACAGUUCGGAGGGAAGUCACCCCUCCUGGCAGAGCUCGCCACGUGCCACCGUCCCUUGCCUCCUGUGCGUGAACAUUCAGCCAGCAUGUGGGGGGUCGCGAGCAGGUGAUGUCAGGCACCGAGAACUAGGAGACGUGACAGCAGAGCAGAGGGGUGACCCAGAAAGGACAGGGCACGUGGGGAGUGAAGGGACUCGGCAGGGAGGUUGUGUCCCUGUUUAGAGAAGGGGGCCCCUUCAGUGCGCCUCCCGGGUCCGCAGCCUGACACGCUGCCAGCCCGAUCUGCUUGGCUCGCUGCAUGUGCUGGCAGAACCUCCCUCCCCCACUGUCAGGACUCCAGCUGCCCCGGAGUCUGUGCUCCGGACUGAGCAGCUGAGAAACCCGGGGGACGGUGACCCUCCUGGGACCGAGCCCAGAGCACCUCCAUCCCCACACACGGGUCCUGCCUGCCCCGCGUAUGGGCAUCUGGUGGGCCACCGCGUUUUCCCCCGGGGGACCCCCACCCCACCUGUCCGUAGCUCUCCACCGGGGACUAAUCCCGGGUUUCAGCCACGGGGUCUCCCUUGCCUGGAGGGCUGGGAAGUGCCCCUGCUCCGGGAGGGGAGGGCCCGAGCAGAGAGAAAAGAGACAGUAACCUCUCAGCUGCUGCUGGUCUAAUUCUAGCCCCAUCUUGCCGCCCUGUCACUCACUGGGAAGCGCGGAGGGGGUGGGACAGACAGAAACCCAGUGAGACAGGGAGAGAGACGUGCGGAGAGACAUACAGAUGGGAAGGGACGUUUAGGCAGAAAGAGACGGAGACAGGGAAGGGGGGCGAGAGACAGGCAGAGAGAGGCACCCGAGGGGGGGGGGCAGGAGGGAAGGAAGAGGGGCCGAGGAGCCCCUGAGAAGGACAACUGGCUGGGUGUCCAAGAGGAGAGAGAAAAGGGGCAGAGGGAAGCGAGAUGGGCUGCCCCUUCCUCUAGGGAGCCCUCCUGGCUCCGAGCUCCCAUCUCUCUCCCUCUUUCUGCCUUCUCCCCGAAACGGUAUCCAGCCUCCCCUCUGGUCCCUGGCCCUGGCUUGGGGUUGCAAGUCCCCAAAGGAGGAGCUAAGACAGGGAGAGCGAGCUGCUGGCCUUGCUGACACACCGGUGGGCAAGCUUCUCCUGAGGAUGCUUUCGGACACUUGAGGCCUGGUGGCCAAGCAGUCUGGAGAGGAGGCCCCCAGCCCUGUGGAUGGGACAGGGGCUGCAGGCUCUGCUCUCUGCGGCAAGCAGCCCGCCGCCAGGAGACCACGGCAGAACACCUGCAGGGUACCUGGGCCCAACGUGGACACCCUGGCCACGAUGACCCCACCCUACCCGUCCCCGCACAGAUGAGAACACCGCUCCCUCUGGGGGGUCGGGCCGAGCAAGCAGGACCCUGCCUGUCAGAGCAUCCUGCCAGGAGUGGGGGCAGGUCCGUUCCCCCCACCCCACCCCCAGCAGCCACAGAACUUGGGUACUUGGCUCUCAAAGGAUUUUAAUGGACGCCCCCCCCAACCUCUGACACCUGCUAGCACCCUUAGGCUCUUGAGGCGGCCAGGAAAUAAGAAAUCUCACUCUCUGUUAAGUCUGAUCCUGGCCUGGAUCUGGGGUUGGGGGACUCCAAGGCUGGCCCCCCACGCCCCCUUCCUGCCCUUCUGUCUUCGGCUCUGGCCCCUAGAGGAGGCCAGGCCCAGGCAUCCGGGACUGGCUGACAGAAUCCUUCAAAGUCCUCAAAGAAUAGCAACAUCUCAAUGUGUCUCCUAAAAGCCAUUUUCUAGAAUGUUCUAGAGAGCCAGCUUCUGCAAUGACCGCCUCCUGGGCCCUUGUCUGGGAGGAGCGUGAGGCGGUGGGUGGUGCCAAGGACGUGGGGGUGUAGCCGUCUGCGGGUCCUGGGUUCGAGCCCCACCUCUGCUUCGGAAAGCCACGUUCUCUCUGAGCCAGAUUCCUCCCGUCAGGCCAUGAGGACAACAGCAAGGACGUUCAUCUCCCGGGGCCCGGGGAGGAUGACGUGCUCUUUGUCAUGACGCCCAGGUUUGCCAGGGGCCACUGAAAGGCUGUCUGGUCGGCCCACGUGGACAGCUCACCUAGGACCGGGAAGGGAGCCUGCUCCCUGCGGUGGGAAGUUUCUGGGGUGUGAGUCAAGCUUUCAAUCACACCGCUUCACCCUCUCUCCCCGCCGUGUUCUCCUCAUUGGCUGCAGGGGACUUGGGGCUAAUUAUAGAAGUGCAAUAAUUAAUUACCAGGCCUGCCAACUCCAUGGAGUGUAAUCUGUGAAAAAAGGCACGAUGCGGGAUGCCUCUCCCUCCCUGAGAGUUAGAGAAGCCCCAGACCCUGACUCCUUUCUGGACGGCCCCUUCCGCACCUCCUCCUGAUGUCUUAGCUCCUCGGGUGAAGGUUGGGCUUCAGAGAGGCCAACGGCACGAGCGUGAUCCUGGGGAGGCCAUUCUACUUCUCUCGGGCAUGUUGUGGGGGUCUCGGGUGGUCCCAGCUUCUCUCCAGCCUGGUCUGCUCUGUGUCUCCCCUCUGUUCCGCUGAUUCCCUUGAAGACCUGGCCAGCACACUUCCCACCAGGCCCCGACUGGCCCUCAGGAUCCUUCUCAACACAAUCCCAGCAGCCUGUUGACCGAUUUGGGUUGGGGUCUGUGAUGAACGCCGAUGCCGUACACGGGAACCCCCUGAGGACCCAUCCUAAGAGAAGGCUGGGGCCCUCAGCAGAGGGAGGAGCAGUGUCUCCCCCAGAUUCCCCGCCCGUUGCCCAGCUUCCUAAGUUGUUCCCUGUCCCCCUUGUCCCCUAUGGAUCCCCACCAGGGCAGUGGCUCGGGUUCUCUCCUGUACACUGGGGGUAACGCUUCCCGCCUUAUAGGACUAUUCUCCAGAGCAGAUGAGUAAGGAGAUGAUGCUGGAUGGGUUCUAGGAUCCGUCCUGUAACACCCGGGGAAUCGGAGGGCCCUCACCAUCAAUGGAGUGUUUGCAGUUUGUCUGUGUUUUAAAAACUCUUAGUGGUGGGGGUGGGGGGGGGGAUAUAAGUGCUCCCGACCGGUGGGAUGCUCGAUCAUUGAACAACAGCGCCCGGAGCCUUGGAACGGGGCCGCACAGAAACGCACAUAGAGGCCAGCUGUUCUUUCUGAAAUCCGUUCCUGUUCUGUGGACCACCCCCCCACUGCCGCGCUCAACAAUAGCAGGUAAAAAUCACUGAGAACAGAAGGCCCCGUUGUGGGGCUCCCGAGCGUGCACUGGGGGAG